rnacentral:tRNA from 1 species
GGUGGCUCAGUGGUAGAGCGCUUGCCUCACAUGCAAGAGGCCCUGGGUUCAAUUCCUCAGCACCA